ACGGGGCCCGCACAAGCGGUGGAGCAUGUGGUUAAUUCGAUGAUACGCGAGGAACCUUACCUGGGCUUAAAUGGGGAGUGACAGCUGUCGAAAGAUGGUUUUCUUCGGACACUCUUCAAGGUGCUGCAUGGUUGUCGUCAGCUCGUGCCGUGAGGUGUCGGGUUAAGUCCCAUAACGAGCGCAACCCUUACCGUUAGUUACCAUCAGGUUAAGCUGGGGACUCUAGCGGGACUGCCACCGUAAGGCGAGAGGAAGUGGGGAUGACGUCAAAUCAGCACGGCCCUUAUGUCCAGGGCUACACACGUGUUACAAUGGCCAGUACAAAGGGCAGCUACCGGGUGACCGGAUGCUAAUCUCUAAAGCUGGUCUCAGUUCGGAUCGAAGUCUGCAACCCGACUUCGUGAAGCUGGAUUCGCUAGUAAUCGCGCAUCAGCCAUGGCGCGGUGAAUACGUUCCCGGGUCUU
rnacentral:rRNA from 1 species